rnacentral:rRNA from 1 species
AGUUCUUCGGAAUUAGAGACCGGCGCACGGGUGCGUAACGCGUAUGCAAUCUACCUUUUACAGAGGGAUAGCCCAGAGAAAUUUGGAUUAAUACCUCAUAGUAUGCAGAGUUGGCAUCAACACUGCAUUAAAGUCACAACGGUAAAAGAUGAGCAUGCGUCCCAUUAGCUAGUUGGUAAGGUAACGGCUUACCAAGGCGACGAUGGGUAGGGGUCCUGAGAGGGAGAUCCCCCACACUGGUACUGAGACACGGACCAGACUCCUACGGGAGGCAGCAGUGAGGAAUAUUGGUCAAUGGGCGCAAGCCUGAACCAGCCAUGCCGCGUGCAGGAUGACGGUCCUAUGGAUUGUAAACUGCUUUUGUACGGGAAGAAACAACUCUACGUGUAGAGUCUUGACGGUACCGUAAGAAUAAGGAUCGGCUAACUCCGUGCCAGCAGCCGCGGUAAUACGGAGGAUCCAAGCGUUAUCCGGAAUCAUUGGGUUUAAAGGGUCCGUAGGCGGUUUUGUAAGUCAGUGGUGAAAGCCUAUCGCUCAACGGUGGAACGGCCAUUGAUACUGCAAGACUUGAAUUAUUGGGAAGUAACUAGAAUAUGUAGUGUAGCGGUGAAAUGCUUAGAGAUUACAUGGAAUACCAAUUGCGAAGGCAGGUUACUACCAAUGGAUUGACGCUGAUGGACGAAAGCGUGGGUAGCGAACAGGAUUAGAUACCCUGGUAGUCCACGCCGUAAACGAUGGAUACUAGCUGUUGGGGGCGACCUCAGUGGCUAAGCGAAAGUGAUAAGUAUCCCACCUGGGGAGUACGUUCGCAAGAAUGAAACUCAAAGGAAUUGACGGGG